rnacentral:lncRNA from 1 species
UUGUCUCUUCCCCCAUAAUUUUUGUUUUGUUUUGUAAUAACAAUUAUUUUAUGUGUUUUAAAAGCAUAUAAGUUUAAUCAUUUGGUUGUAGAUUAUAGGAUUGAUUUUCUUUUUUAUUUGUAUCUAAUUGUUAAUUGUUGAUGCUACUUUUUCAGGGUCCCAUUGGAGAGCAUGUGUCUACAUUCUACGACUUCAAGACGUUCAACAUCAACAAUAUAAUUUUUAGUCAAGACAAUGUUUUUUAUUUGAUAUAAAAUCAAGAUGUUAGAGUUUAGAUAUCUUAGGUUGAUCGAAUAUUUUUAAUGAAUUGAUAUGUCGAAAAACUAAUCUCAAUAAAUUGAUUUAGUCUUUAUCUAUAUUUAUUUUAUGAACUUUUGUCUUC